UGUGUGGGUUACGAUUUGUUUGGAUCAAGUACUGAUUAGUAGUUUCAAGCAGAGAAUCGCCCCAGAGUUUGGCCCCUUUUAUUUUGAUUUCAUUUGUGUUUGUGUUUCAAGAACGUUGUUCGAUUUUAUUGGUAUGUAGGUAUGCAGGCAUCCAUAUGAUGUAGAUUCAUUUUUUUUCAUGGACAGAUGUUCAAUACAGUUUUUUAGUGGCACUCUAAAUGUUUCUUUGUUUUGUUUUUGGUUUUUAUACUGUAGAUUGUGUGGGCUGGGUAUGAUUACUGAACCCAUUUUUGUUACUAGCAGUAUGAUUUUUUACUGAACCCAUGCGACUCAGUAGAAUGUUGAAAUCAUUCUCAGGGAAAGAAGAGUAUGAUUUUUACUGAACCCAUUUUGCUAGCAGUGGCAUGUUGAUUGUUUGACAUGCCCCCUUUUCAAGCAGUAUGUUGAAUAUAUUUUUUCAGUUUUUCACUGAACCCAUUUACUAGUUUGGUACUCUCCAGUAAAUAUUUUUUUACAACUAGUAGUAGUACUAAAGUCCAGUAGCUCUAGGAGACUGACAUGAAGUUUCUCCUUGGACUGACUUGGAAGUAGUACUACCGGUACCACUAAUUUUUAUGCUUGUAGGUACUUAGAGAAGUUCCUUAGGAUUUUAGCUGAGAAGAUCUGGUCUAGCAUUUGAGCAAAAGUACUACCCAGCACUGAAUCUUAUACUAUGACUUUGUGACACUUAGUAAAACAGGGGCAAUUUAUUUGCAGGACAACAAAAAUUAAAUAAGCCAUGUUAAACCAAGGAGAUACAAGAGUUUUUUUUAUUUUUUGCUUUGCGCUGAUGUAAACAAGCACCCUACAUACACAUGUUCUGCACAGAGAUUAAACAAAGAGUGCAAUUUACCCCCUCUAUAUAGCAGGAGCAUGUGUUUAGGCUGCGUAAGUUAACCUUUUUGUUAGGAUAUAACCUCUGCUAGUCAUUCUUUUUUGACAAGUUGAUCUGCUGUUGUUUUCUGUUGAGUGUUAACACAGCAGGGAAAUUUUAUGGCACAUGCCCCUGGUAGUUUGUCACCACUGCUGCAUUAGAUUAAUUAGGGGCAGCAAUUGUACUUUUUGUUUUGUAAAUAAAUGGGGUUUAGCAUCUGGUAAGCAGGGUUUUUGUUCACACAAUCAUAAAGCUGCUUGAAUAUUGAGAUAAAAAUAACAAAAUAAAUUUUCUAGAUGUUUCGAAAUUGUUCUUUUUUACUUAUGCUUUUCUGAAUCCCUUUUCUUACUUUUUCUGUAGUGUGUUGUUAGUGAGUUACCCAUUUAUUUAUUUAUUUUCUUCUUUUUAUGUGCACGGGAGAUGGUUUGUGGAGUCUAUUCGGGGGAAGCGGUUUCAGCAUGUAUGUAUGGGAGGACUUCAAGAACACAGGGGUUGUGCCAUGCAAUUAAAGGAUCUGUUUCAACGACAUGACUGGAGAAGAGAUAUUUGUGGCAAACAAACGAUCGUACACUGUAAAGUGUCACACGGGUCGCACACAGAGCACAAUGUAUGGGAGAGGUUGGAGGAAGUUUUAUGCAAACAACAAGCCGGGGAAGGGUCAGCUGGUGUUGUCCUACUUGGACGAGCCUCCCCUAGGGUAGUUGUUUGUGUGAUCCAGAUUUGCAACGAAUCUGAAGAUGAGCAGUCUAUGUAUGAGGAUGAUGCCAUGGAAGCUUCAGAUGAAGAUGAUGAGGAUGGAGAAGCUUCCGGCGACGAUGAUGAAGGCAUCGUUCGCACUAGGGGGGCUUCAACUGAAUGAGGUUGAGGACUUGGAGCUCCAAGGCCUGCUGACUCUCCAUGAUGGAUUCAUAGGUUUGCCUUUCAUUCACCGCCUCACGAGGACAGAUGUCCAUUUGGGCAUGAUGGUAUGUAUCUCUUCUUCAUUCUUUCUUUUUUUGUAUGGAUAUGCUACAAGUAAGAAUACGAGUACCAAAUCUGAAUCUGAGCGGAAGGGAGGGGGUAACAUGAAUCUGAACUGAAUUUACAUGAGUGAAACUAUAAGCUUUUUGGUUGUUUUUUUAGUGUUGUAACACUGAAGUGCAUCUUUCAAUUAUGGAUGUACAUGUUUUUUCUAUUCUAUUUUUUCCAUUUAUGUGUUUUGGUGUGCUUCGAGUAAAAAUUUGAAAAUGUUUUACUUGUUUUGUUAGGUUUUCCUUCUAUGUUGUUUUGAUAUGAUGCAAAUACCAAAGAAAGUUGAUAAUUGAUAAAACACUCAUAUAUGUUGUUUUGAAUUGCAUGCCUACACACCUAGUUGCAAACAUGCGUGAUCAAUAAUAGGCUUGCAACGGGCAUUUUUUGUUUUUGUGACGGGGCGGUGGGAUUUGUAAGUGGGCGCCGAAAGAGGGGUGCGAGUUGCAUGUCCGAUACUAGACUUGCAACUGCAAGUGUCGCUCUUGUCCGCAACUGCGUGUCUCUUCCCCGACUGCAACCGCCUUUAGUUUUUUUUUGUCAGAGAGGAGGAGGGGGCAGUUGCAUGUCCAAUAGUAGGCUUGCAACUGCAAGCGUCGCCCUCGACCGCAACUACAUGCCCUCACAUAUGACUGCAAUUGACAUAUUUUGUUUUUGUAAGGUGGCGGCAGGAGAGGUGCGGGUUGCAUGUCCAAUAGUAGGCUUGCAACUUCAAGUGUCGCCCUCGACCACAACUGCAUGUCUCCUUGGCCUUGCAUUUUUUGUCGGAGAGGGGGAGGGGGCAGUUGCAUGUCCAAUAGUAGGCUUGCAACGCAAGUGUUGCCCUCAACCGCAACUGCAUGCUUACACACACGGCUGCAACUGCAUGCCUACACACCCGAUUGCAAAGGACAUUUGUGUUGUAAGUGGGCGGCGGAAGAGCGGGAUGCGAGUUGCAUGUGUGAUAGUAGGCUCGAAAUUGCAAGUGUCGCCCUCGAUUGCAACUGCAAGUCCCCUCCCGACUGCAACGAGCCUUGCAUUUUUUGUUGGAGAGGGGGAGGGGCAGUUGCAUGUCCAACAGUAGGCUUGCAACUACAAGUGUCGCCCUCGAUCACAAUCGCAUGCCCACACAUUUGACUACAACUAACAAUUUUGUUUUUUUAAGGGGGCGACGGGAGAGGGGUGCGAGUUGCAUGUCUGAUACUAGACUUGGAACUCCAAGUGUCGCCCUCGACCGCAACUGCAUGUCUCCUCUCUGAGUGCAACUGGCCUUGUUUUUUUGUUAGGAGGGGGGGGGGGGGAGUUGCAUGUCCAAUAGUAGGCUUGCAAUUGCAAGUGUCGCCCUCAACCGUAUCGACAUGCCUACACACCUAGCUGCAACUAGACAUUUUUUUGUUUUUGUAAGGGGGCGACGAGAUUUGUAGGUGGGCGGCAGAAGAGGGGUGUGAGUUGUAUGUCCGAUACUAGACUUGCAACUACAAGUGUCGCCCUCGACCACAACUGCAUGUCUCCUCCUCGACUACAACUUGCCUUUAGGCUUUUGUUGGAGGGGGCAGUUGCAUGUCCAACAUUAGGCUUGCAACUUUAAGCGUUGUUCUCGACUGCAAUUGCAUGCCCACAUACCAAGUUGCAACUGACAUUCUUUUGGUAAGGGGCGGCAGGGGAGGGGUGCGAGAUGCAUGUCCGAUACUAUACUUGCAACUGCAAGUGUUGCGCUUGACCGCAAAUGCAUGUCUCCUCCCUGCUGCAACUGGCCUUGCGUUUUUGGUCGGACAGGGGAAGGGGUUAGUUGCAUGUCCAAUAGUAGGCUUGCAACUACAGGUGUCGCCCUCAAGUGCAAUUGCUUGCCUGCACACACAGUUGCAACUGCAUGCCCACACACCCGGUUGCAACUGGCAUUUGUUUUGUAAGUGGGCGGCGGAAGAGCGGGGUACGAGUUGCAUGUUUGAUAGUAGGCUUGCAAUUGCAAGUGUCGCCCUCGAUUGAAACUACAAGCCUCCCUCCCGACUGCAACUAGCCUUGCUUUUUUGUCGGAGGGGCGAAGGGGGGAGUUGCAUGUACGGCAGUAGGCUUGCAACUUCAAGUGUCACCCUUGACCGCAAUCGCAUGCCCACACAGACAAAUGCAACUACCAUUUUUGUUUUUGUAAGGGUGCGGGAGGAGAGGGCUGCAAGUUGCAUGUCCGAUACUAGACUUGCAACUGCAAGUGUCGCCCUCGACCGCAACUGCAUGUCUCCUCCCUGACUGCAAGUGGCAUUACUUUUUUGUCGGAGAGGGGGAGGGGACAGUUGCAUGUCCAACAGUAGGCUUGCAAUUGCAAGGGUCGCCCUCAACCGCAACUGGAUGCAUACACCCCGACUGCAACUAACUUUUGUUUUUUGUAUGUGAGUGACGUGGGUGGGCCCAAUUGCAUGUCCAGUACUAGGGAUGCAACUACAAGUGUCGUCCCUGGCUGCAAUUGGCCUUGUGUUUUUCUCGGAGGGCGGCGGGAGAGGGGGUGGUGUACUUGCGAGUCCGAGGGGGGCAGUUGCAUGUCUAGUACUAGGCAUGCAACUGCAACUGUCACCCCCGACUGCAAUUGCAUGUCUUCCAACAUGGUUGCAACUAGUCUUUUGUUUUGUUGGAGGAUGGGAGUUGCAUCUCCGAUACUAGGCUUGCAACUACAAGUGUCACCCUACAUGUCCGACAGUAGGCAGAGCAGGUAAGAUAUCCCCCCUACCUCCCCGCUCCUCUCCCCCGUAGUGCGUCUCGCAAGCACCAUAACAAACCCGCUGCUGUGUCAGUCAAUGCAAAUCGAGCAACCGAUCUCGCAACUAACUUUGUGUUUUUGUCGGAGGGCGGCAGGAAAGGAGUGGGACGGGUCAGUUUUCAACACAUUUUUUUGCUUUUGUGGGGGAUUGGGGGCAAGCGCGAAGCGUUCAAGCACAAUUUUUGAUUUUGAAAGUGUGCCUGCUGAAAAUCCAUCCCAAACCUGAUGAUUUUGGAUUUUGAAUGGCUCCAUGACCAUUUUUGUCCUUCCUGUGCAACCUAAUACACGAGUGCCGUGACAACGAACAAAGUAGGUCUGGUCAAGUUCAUAGACAAAGUAGUUUUUGAUUUUUGCAUUUGAAUGGCUCCAUGACGAUUUGUUCAGAUUUUGGCUUGUGUGUGUGCUAUUUUUGUUUUUUAUGUGUAUUUCUGAAGUUGUGUUCAGAACCAUCAGUUAAAUUCAAUGGAUGACACCACUCUCUCACGAAUAUAUGAGGAUCCUUGAGCUAUACUUAAACACAUCAAAUCAUUACCUUAAGUUCAUUUCUAUUUGAUUUUUGUCGUCAGAAUUUAUGUCAAGUUACUGAGAUUUUGCUAUAUUUAGUUGCAGAUUCAAGUCAAAUGUUUUUAUCAGUUACCUUGUAAUCAAGCCUUUUUUCGGCUGGUAUGUUUGAGCUUGUUCCAGGUUCAUUUUUUUGCGAUAAAUGACACCGACGGUGCCCCUGUUUCGGGAGUCGGACUUUUUGAAGGGUUGGAAUGCCCCACCUAAGAUUGUGUGCGUGGGUGCGUGUGUGUUUGUGUUGGCUUUUGUGUAUAUGUUCAGAUUGUUUACUUUUUGUAUAUGUUCAGAUUGUUUACUUUUUGUUCAGAUUUUUUUUUUUAUUUCUUGACAUGCACUUAUGUUCAGUCUCUGAGGUUGUCUUGUUUAUAAUUUUUGUUGUUCAGAAUUUUGUGUGCUAUGGGGAAUGAUAUGCUGAAUUACUAACUAGUAGUAGAAAUUCUCUUCUAGCUAGUGGCAUGAUUUUAGUUUCUUCUAUGUCUUACUUUGUCGCGCCCCUCUAUUUUUUAAAACUUGUUUUUCAAGACUAAUGUAUUAUAUACAUUUAUGAAUACACACGGGCACUGACAUGGAUGAUGAAGCAAGCGACCGUGAGAGCGACAAAAAUGCAAAAGGCAAAGAGCUGUGUCUUGAAGAUCCAGAGUCAGAAGAGAGAGGAUAUCUUGUAGAAAUCACUUACACGGAAGCGUCAGAGGAUUUCCUUUUUGGAGAAGUUGCUACACUAGUUUGUAACAUUUUUCUAUAUAUAUUCAGUUUUCCUGAGUUUUAUCUAGCUAGGUAACACAGCAAUUUUUUGUUAACACAUUAUUUUUUUGGUAACCCUUGAAGAUCCAGUGUCUC